rnacentral:lncRNA from 13 species
GGAUAUCCUAGGCAGCUUAGAGGGUGAUGGCUAAGGCGUUGUGAGGCUGCCAGCUGCUGCCGUGAGGAUGGUGGUGGGGUUGCUGCCUCGACUGUCGCGGGGCUGACGGCUGCUGCCAUGGGAUGGUGUCAGGGAUGCUGUGGAGGGUGCUAUGGAUGCUGCCUGGGCUGUCGUGGAGCUGACGGCGAAGCCGGUGUUGUGCUGACAGCCGGGCAGCCGCGCAGCUGCCGGCUCGGCUGCUCCUGGGGCGAAGCCUGCGCCCCUGUGGGGCUGACAGCGAGGGGAGCACCGAAGAGCUGAGCACUUCAGGCCGGAGUUGCUGGGGGGCCGGGCGGGGACUCUGAGCCGGCCCUUCCACCGCCACCUGCGCCGCGCUCCCCGCGGCCCCGCCCCGGUCCCACGGGCGGCGGCGGGGGUGUCGCUACCGAGGGCGUGCGGGCGGAGGAGGAGGAGGAGGAGGAGGAGGCGGCGGGAGGAGUAAGGCGGCGGCAGCAGCAGCAGCUCUCGGGAGGAGCCUGUCCACCGUGAGACAGCACAUUCAGCCGGCGGCGGCGGUCCUGCCGCAGCGGCGGGCGGCACGGCACAGCUCGGCUCGGCUCGGCUCGUCACGGCUCUGCUCAGCACGGCUCGGCUCGGCUCGGCAGGGCGCAGCUACUGGCAGCAGCCCUUCAGGCAGCGGGGCAUCCCUCUGCUCUCCCGGCGGCGAGCGCUCGGUGAGAGCUGCAAGGCGCCGGGAGCCGCUCCGCAUCUCCCGGGCGCCGGCGGAGGAGGAAGCUGAUGACUGCAGAGAAAUCCAUGAUGUGUGAAAGUGCCAUGUAAUUUUUAGCAUGUAAUUUUACUCUCUGGUCAUCCACCCACCCAGGCCGUAAUGUGAGUAGAGUUCUCAUUAUAUUAACGUGGAGUUGACAUUCAAAUUUCCCAUGCAUCAAGUGAACAAUAGACUUCCAUUGCAUAUACAUGGCACUGCCAUUGAUCUGAUUGAUUUUGAGCUGCAGCAGUGGAUACGGUCGGUGAUGUGUGAACAGG